rnacentral:rRNA from 1 species
GGCAAGCGUUGUCCGGAUUUAUUGGGCGUAAAGAGCGUGUAGGCGGCCGCACAGGUCCGUUGUGAAAACUGGAGGCUUAACCUUCAGACGUCGAUGGAAACCGUGCGGCUAGAGUCCGGAAGAGGAGAAUGGAAUUCCUGGUGUAGCGGUGAAAUGCGCAGAUAUCAGGAAGAACACCCGUGGCUAAGGCGGUUCUCUAGUACGGUACUGACGCUGAGACGCGAAAGCGUGGGGAGCGAACAGG